rnacentral:rRNA from 1 species
UUGAUCCUGCCAGUAGUCAUAUGCUUGUCUCAAAGAUUAAGCCAUGCAUGUCUCAGUACAAGCCGCAUUAAGGUGAAACCGCGAAAGGCUCAUUAAAUCAGUUAUGGUUCCUUAGAUCGUACCCACAUUUACUUGGAUAACUGUGGUAAUUCUAGAGCUAAUACAUGCAAACAGAGUUCCGACCGGAGACGGGAGGAAUGCUUUUAUUAGAUCAAAACCAAUCGGCGGCGGGUGCGUUCGCGCGCCCGUUCGCCGCUCAACCUGGUGACUCUGAAUAACUUUCGGCUGAUCGCACGGUCCAGCACCGGCGACGCAUCUUUCAAAUGUCUGCCUUAUCAACUGUCGAUGGUAGGUUCUGCGCCUACCAUGGUCGUAACGGGUAACGGGGAAUCAGGGUUCGAUUCCGGAGAGGGAGCCUGAGAAACGGCUACCACAUCCAAGGAAGGCAGCAGGCGCGCAAAUUACCCACUCCCGGCACGGGGAGGUAGUGACGAAAAAUAACGAUACGGGACUCAUCCGAGGCCCCGUAAUCGGAAUGAGUACACUUUAAAUCCUUUAACGAGGAUCAAUUGGAGGGCAAGUCUGGUGCCAGCAGCCGCGGUAAUUCCAGCUCCAAUAGCGUAUAUU